CUAAAUUUCCUCGCUGACGUAGCGCUCACGUCAUUGUGUAGGUUGAUGCUUUUCUAUGAAUGAGCCGAGAUCCCCGUUACUACGAGCCCGAUCCUAUAAAAGCCCCGCGCGCUGCGGACAGCGCAGCACCGCCACCGGCGCCGGCCCCGCCGGGAGCCGCGGGGCCCGCAGGAGGUAAGGCACCGGCUGGGUUGGCCCGCAGACACCGACCCCCCCACGGCGGACGCCCCCCCCGCCUUCCCGCUGCAGCCCAGGCCAAGCACCUCACACCUCCAGGACGGGGAUUUUCGGGCAGUCCCACCAACACUCAGGUAAAACCUCAGCUACGUCCAGCACAUCCCCGCUGCAAAAUUGCCACUGCCACAAAACCCACCCUCCAUCCCCUGGGAAACACUUCCUUAUUUAUGCCCUGUCAACAGCAUCACAGCGAGGUCCAGGCCAUGGUGACAUCAGCGUCCCUUCCAGGGUACCCCUGAGUGAGGGGACAAGUCCCAUGGGCAGCAGAGUGGCCCCUUGGACCCCACGCUCCAGCCCGGGAAUGUUCCAGCUGCACUGUUGUUUUGAAGGCCAAGUCUUUCCCGCUGACACCCUGGAAUCAGUUUUUCUUCCAGAGUCCUUAAAAAUAUCCUGGAUUCCUGACACCGGGACUUGUCUUCCAACGGCGCUUCCAAGCCGCCGGGCCCGGGGCCAGCCGCCAGCGCCAGGGGACAGAGGCUGUCCAGCUCCCGUGCUCCUCCUCAGCACGGAGAUCGCGGCCUGCCGGGAAGGAAUGCGGUGCCAAGGAGGAUCACAGCCCUUACCACGGCCUCUUCCACGGUGGAACGGUGCUCAGUGGGGCACAGGAGCGGCACAAACGCUGCCUGACCUCGGCAACGUGUCCCCGUGCACGCUCUGAAGGACAUUCCUGGGACCUCCAAGCCAUGACCCCGCAGAGCCCGGCAGCUGAGGACAGGGGUGGACACCGCCCGCAGUGAAGGUCCCAAGGGACUCUCCUGGACAGGAUUUCCCUGUGCAUCCCUGGGAAAGCACGUGGCCCCAGAAAACUUCCAGACAAAAGCUGUCACCCGCUCCUGGCUUUGCCAAGUGGCAUCCUGGCACCGUAGGAAUUUAAGAUGGGUCUGGGGGGGCUGAGCCAGCAAAGCUGGUGGGGGCUGCAGGAAGAGGUGCUGCUGUUGCCCCCCCAAAGGCCGGGCAGGUGCCCACUGGCCCCACACGCUGUUGCUGCCAUCUGACAGCUCUUGGCGAAACGGCCUUUUGUGAUUCAGCCGUGUUUAUCCCAGCCUGCAGCCCGGCCCAGCGUGGGUUUCCAUGGAAAACUUCCAUCCAAAACAAGGAGAGAGAAGGAGCUACAGCAGGAGUGACUCAGCCACAACUGGAAGCUUCUGCGAGUGAAGCAGGGAAGGGGGGGCUGCUCCCUACGGUUUGGUCCUGCUCCAGCAGCGGGGCCCAGGGAUGGUCCCGGCUGUCCCCUGCCCCUGCCACUUUGGAGGCAGGAUCUUGGCAGGUCUGGGGAAACCUGGCACUAAAACCAUUUGGGAAACACAUCACACUCCUGGAGUGCCCCCUCCCCACGCCUGUGGCAGGUCCUGCCGGUGGGCACAGAGGGGGAAGAGCAUGAGAUGAGUAAGGCUCAAACCCUGGCAUGAGCCACACCUGAUGCCAGGCUCGGCGGGACGUCACUUUUUCCAGUGCUGCCCACAGGAACCCCUACCCGUGCCUGGUGUGCCCCAAGCGGGUGGCUGGCAGGGUGGCAGUGACCUCGAGGUGGCAUUGGCACAGGGGAAAGGGAUGAGGGGAGUGGGGAGAGGUGGGAAAACAGCCAGGAGUUUGCAGGGAGCAGCAGCACUGGUGGUGUCUCUGAUCAUGCCGGGCUCCUCCUGCCCUCCCCGGACACUGGCACAGGGCUGGGGGCUCUGCUCACCCAGGGAAGGGGCAGCAAAGCUCUCCCUGGACUCCUCACAGCGAGGCUCCUUCCUGUCCCUGAGGUCACACAGGUGCCUCCAAUGGCUGCACUGGGGUAUGGAAAGGCACAUCUGGGGACAGGGGUGACAUCCUCCCUGCCAAAACACCCAGGCCCUCGGUGCUGCUGGUAACACUAGUGAUUGUGCCCAGGGCCCUUUUGUCCCAGGUCAAAGUGGCACAGCUGCCACCCAGAUGCUGGGCUCACUCCAUCACCCCCUGUUCAGCAACAGCAACAGGCCCACGCUGGUUUUGGGGGAAAAACCCAACUCCCCUGGACCACACCAGGUGACGGGUGGGAGGACAUCAGCCACUCUUAUCUCCAGGCUCACCUCUGCGGGCAGUUCAGCCAAGUUCUGCGGCUGCAUCCCAAGAACAGUCCUGGAUCUGCGAGAGAGGCAGGGGCCAGCCCGAGGGCAGGAUUCCCAUGGCAAACCCCUCGGAGCCGCUUCCCUCCUCCCACCACACCGGGAGCAAGCAGGACCUCCCUGCGCUGCUCACACGGGCACCUCCUGCGGACAAAGGUCGCGUUUAUCUGCUUUUUAUUCAUUUAUUUCAGGAGCCAUCUUGAGGGAAAGCAGCAGGUACCGCAGCAUCCCAGCUGGGGUCACCCAUCCCUCCCGGAGCCACCCGAGGGUGCUGCCUGCUCACUCACCGCACCCGGGGCUUCUCCCCCUUCCUUCCCUCUCGCCAGGAGCCGGCGGUGCCUCCCGGUGCCCGGGGGCUGCGGGGCCGCAGUGCGGGCGGCCGGUGCCUCCCCCGCGCCGGGAGAGCACCGGGAGAGCUCGGCGACAAUCCAACAGCCGGUCACAGCCGGUCUCCCCGCCCUGCCACAGCUGCAGCCCCCAAAAACCCAUCCUCUGGUGUCCCCGAUGUGGAAACCAAGGGGUGCAGGCACCCAGCACUGCCCGAGCCCCCCCGGGUGACAGCAAAACGGGUCUGGGCUGAAAGGGGAACAGCCACAUCCUCCUGCCAGCAUCACCAGCGUGCGACAAACCGGGGGAAAAGGGGAUGGAGCUGCGAGCUGCUCAGCCCUGCUGCUCUGCUUUAACCCACGGCACCCCGGGUUAACCCAGCUCACUGAGCACAGGAGGGUUCCGGCAGCACAGGAUCCUGUGGCUCUCACAGAGCUGGCACUGCGCUGCCCUGCUGCUCAAGCAGGGGGAAAACUCAUUUUUUAUACCCAAUUUCCUUCUUUUACCAGCUCUAGACCCCCAAGGAAAGGCGUGGUUAGAGAAGCUCUGCUAGCUCUCCUCUCCUGAGACUGGUGCACGGUGCUGAGUUGGGCAGAAGCUGAGCAGGACACCUGCAAGUAUUACAGCAAUAAAGAUUUUCCUGUGCUUCUGGAUAAUACAGAGCCACAAACAGCAA